CAGUCGCCACGGGAAAACGGAGGGGGCUAGCGUUGUUCGGAAUUACUGGGCGUAAAGCGUACGUAGGCGGCUUGGUAAGUUAGAGGUGAAAGCCCAGGGCUCAACCCUGGAAUUGCCUUUAAGACUGCCGAGCUAGUAGGUGAGAGAGGUAAGUGGAAUUCCGAGUGUAGAGGUGAAGUUCGUAGAUAUUCGGAAGAACACCAGUGGCGAAGGCGGCUUACUGGCCCAUUCUAGACGCUGAGGUGCGAAAGCGUGGGGAGCAAACAGGAUUAGAUACCCCAGUAGUCCCUGUCUCUUAUAC
rnacentral:rRNA from 1 species